GCACGCCCACAAGUGGCACUCAGCUGUCGAUCAAACGUUAAUCAAGAACUGUUUGACCUGCAUGUUGUUUUCAAAACAACAUACAAAACAUUGUUUUGUAUGUUUUCCACGCAAAAGAUGAUGGAGGCUCCACGUCGGCUGCUGAUCGUCUACUUGGACAUAUUUUCGAAAGGAAUAUGGAGGUUUGGACCCCAGAGGUGCACCCGACAGCAUUGUGGCACAUGUGGAAAGGGCGGCAACCUGCAAUUGGAACGUAAUGUGAGUAUGCAGUGUUGUGCUUGAGGAGCUGAUGUGCGAUGUCACAUUACACCACAAGAUGGCUGCGAGUACAACUCUCCUAUCACUUCUAAUGGCACACAGUGCCACCAGGGGGAAAGUGAGCACAUGCAAACAUCUGACAUCGCUCACUGGGCCAAAACCUAAGUGCCAGGUACUGGAAAACUUCAUCAAACACCUCUCAAUGUGUUUUCAAUGACAUUGAUGCAAAUUAGUAAGUUUACUGUUUUUAUUUUUAAAUGUAGGCUGGAACCUUCCGCUGAAGAUUUUAGGUCGUUUGUGCACGAGUAACAGGAGGACGAACUCUGAAAUGUUGCAAAGGCUCUCCUGGACGGCUACACCUGCACACAACAAAAGGGAACAGUCAAGUUGAUUUACACAUCUCAACACUGAAAAUGGAGACCACCUUGAGGACCUUUGGCACACUUUGAGAAUUCUUUGGCCCAGCAGGAAAGGAAAAAAAGCAGGUUAGUAUUAACAUGCCAUGGUGCCAAAUUUUUGCUAAGUUUUGUUACCAGUCAGCAUGUUGGACAGGAAAUUUAUCAUGACUCGUUUCUUGACUGACUGCACCCACCACCUGAAACAAAAAAAAAGACAGGUCAAGUAUAUUGAUUUGUCAAGUUUGUCAUUCAAUGUUCAAACCUGGAGCGUUUACUUAAGUCAAUCCAUGCAGCAGGUACAAGGUCCUUUGUCUCCACCUGGUGGACAAGACUGGAAGAAAAUAAACAUCCUGAAAUUAAUUGGCCAAAUUGUGCUUGUGUGUUUCACCAAUAGAAGCAGGGGCAGCUCUGGACUUCUCUCCAGUCGCAGUUUAUUGGCCUGAAAUACACAGUAACGUUACAACCCAUCUAGUACUAAGUUUUCAGUCCUUGUUCAGCAAGAGUACUUGCAAACAUCUCAUGAAGCAAGGGCUCACAGGACAGCAAGUCGGCCAUUUUGAAACCUGCAGACAAAGAAAAAAAAGGUUAGUUUAAUAAUAAAUGUCCAAAUAAAAAGGGAAUUUUUGCCUUUUUUGCAGUCAAUCUGGUUCUUCUGUGGCAGAUGCAGGCCUGUGGACAGAAAUGAGACUAUUAGAUGCAGUUGAUUAAACGGGUUGGAGUGUGAAUUUACUUUAUUAAGCUCAUUUUGAAGAGUUGCACCUGUAGACAAAUUAGACAAUUAAUGCGCAUGCAGCAAAAUAUUUGAUUCUGUUGUGAAUUUAUGCAAACGUUUUGUCUUACCUUCGGCAAAACGGCGUUUGAUGCAAUUUAAGGUCGUCGAAGACAUUAACUCCCAACGAUAGAGAAACCUUUUUAGCUUGCAUGCUAGCAAGGCGUAAGCACUUCCAAACUGCACCUUGGCGCUGAAAGAGAGAAAAAGCAGUUAGUUUUAAAAGUCUAAGAAAUAGCGAAAAGUCACCUUGUCAAAGUUUUCAACGCUGCAUGCUGUGGGAAAGCGUGCGGAGCAGCAGGUGGACCAGCACGACGUGACGCUGUCUGAAGUGAGCAAGAGAAUGAUUGUCGCGUUUGUGACGUCUUAAAUAGUAUUUUUGUGAUGACGUCAUUAACAAGCAUGAGGGUGAAAAAAAAAAAAAAGCAAAGGA